rnacentral:rRNA from 1 species
AGUGAACGCUGGCGGUAGGCCUAACACAUGCAAGUCGAACGGCAGCACAGUAAGAGCUUGCUCUUACGGGUGGCGAGUGGCGGACGGGUGAGGAAUACAUCGGAAUCUACUUUUUCGUGGGGGAUCACGUAGGGAAACUUACGCUAAUACCGCAUACGACCUACGGGUGAAAGCAGUGGAUCUUCGGACCUUGCGCGAUUGAAUGAGCCGAUGUCGGAUUAGCUAGUUGGCGGGGUAAAGGCCCACCAAGGCGACGAUCCGUAGCUGGUCUGAGAGGAGGGUCAGCCGCACUGGAACUGAGACACGGUCCAGACUCCUACGGGAGGCAGCAGUGGGGAAUAUUGGACAAUGGGCGCAAGCCUGAUCCAACCAUACCGCGUGGGUGAAGAAGGCCUUCGGGUUGUAAAGCCCUUUUGUUGGGAAAGAAAAGCAGCAGGUUAAUACCCAGCUGUUCUGACGGUACCCAAAGAAUAAGCACCGGCUAACUUCGUG